rnacentral:misc_RNA from 1 species
UAGAGAGUAUACAACUCCCUAAAACCCAUUGUGAAUCUACCUAUUGUUGCUUCGGCGGAGGUCCCGGUCACCCUCCGUGGUGCCGGAAUCAGGCGUCCGCCGGAGGAUCCAAACUCUUGUGUUAUUUUGUAACUGUCUGAGUGGCGCAAGCAAAUCAAAUCA